UUUCUAAUUCCUUAAGCGCUUUGAGAAACCUUCCCCUGAUUGUCUCUUUCGGCCUUCUCAGGUUGCCGGCGAUCUUCCCCAGUCAAUUGUUCUUGUCUCUUGUAUGCAGUUGCAGGUGGAUUUCCUUGCUCCUCUAUUGAUUUUAUGAUUCCCCCUUUGUUUCUUGUCUUUUCGGUCCCUCUUUUUAGCUGCCCUUUAUCCUCUCUCACCUUCUUUUUCAUUUCU
rnacentral:lncRNA from 1 species